rnacentral:rRNA from 1 species
CCUACGGGAGGCUGCAGUGAGGAAUAUUGGUCAAUGGACGAGAGUCUGAACCAGCCAAGUAGCGUGAAGGAUGACUGCCCUAUGGGUUGUAAACUUCUUUUAUAUGGGAAUAAAAUGUUCCACGUGUGGGGUUUUGUAUGUACCAUAUGAAUAAGGACCGGCUAACUCCGUGCCAGCAGCCGCGGUAAUACGGAGGAUCCGAGCGUUAUCCGGCUUUAUUGGGUUUAAAGGGAGCGUAGGUGGAUUGUUAAGUCAGUUGUGAAAGUUUGCGGCUCAACCGUAGAAUUGCAGUUGAAAAUGGCAGUCUUGAGUACAGUGGAGGUGGGCGGAAUUCGUGGUGUAGCGGUGAAAUGCUUAGAUAUCACGAAGAACUCCGAUUGCGAAGGCAGCUCACGGGACUGCAACUGACACUGAGGCUCGAAGGUGUGGGUAUCAAACAGGAUUAGAUACCCGGGUAGUC